GAAAGUAUUCACAGCGGCUAUUGUCUCUUCCCAAACUGAAAAUAACAAACAAACAACGCCAAAAACACAAAAUGUCUUAGUGGAUGCAAACAGCAAGCCUUGUGUUUAUUGCAAGGGAGAGCAACACAGUCUUACAGUCUGCAGAAAACUUAAGAGCAAGCCGCACAAGGAAAAGAUUGACUUCCUACGAAGCAAAGGUCUGUGUUUUGCAUGUUUGAAACAUGGUCAUAUGAGUAGCGGCUGUAAAGAGAAAGCUCAAUGUCAAGAAUGUUCUCGACUGCAUCCCACACUGCUGCACAUAAACAGUAAAGGCUUGCGAGAAGAAGCCACAAGCGAACAUUGUGAGCAGCAAUCUGUUUCAAGUGCCCUUGUACACAUGAAAGAAAAAGUCACCGGGGCCGGUAAGGAAAACUGUGUUCUUUCGAUCAUUCCAGUAUGUGUCAAAGCACAAAAGGGAACCAAGGCAGUGACAACGUACGCAUUUUUGGAUCCAGGUAGCUCAGCUACUUUCGCUACGGAGUCUUUAAUAAACCAGUUGAAUAUGAAUGGACCCAAUACAAGCAUCUUGUUACAAACAAUGGGGAAUGAAUCUAUUGUCAACACUUGUAUUGUGAAUGGAAUGGAAAUCAGUAGCUUGGAUGGCAAUCACUUUAUUGAACUUUCAGAGGUGUUUUCACAGAAAAACAUCCCUGUAACCAAAGACAAUAUUCCCCGCCAAGAGGAUGUUGACAGUUGGCCUCAUCUAAAGGAGGUGAAACUCCCCACUAUCCAAGCAGAGGUUGGAUUACUCAUAGGAGCAAAUGUUCCCAAGGCGAUGGAGCCACUGCAGGUGGUUAACAGCAUGGAUGACGGCCCAUAUGCCGUGAGAACAAUAUUAGGCUGGACAGUAAAUGGGCCACUCAGAGGUGGAAGCGGUAUGAGGGAGACAAACACAUUUACAGGAGUCACCACCAAUCGUAUUUCAGUAGCCAAACUAGAGGAGCUCUGGCAACUGCAGUUCAAGCAGGACUUUCCUGAUGCUGGACAAAAUGAAGACAUUGAAAUGUCCAAAGAUGAUCACCAGUUUAUUGACAUGGUGUCUCAGUCCUCAAAACUUGUGGAUGGUCAUUACAGUGUUUGCCUGCCGGUGAAGAACAAGUCAUUAUGCAUGCCAAAUAACAGAUCAGUCGCAGAGCAACGUGCGUUGAACCUACGGAAAAGAUUCUCCAGAGAUGUAAAGUUUCAUGCUGAAUACAUUGCAUUUAUGGAUGACCUCCUCAAGAAAGGCUAUGCAGUGAAGCUGGAUAGCGUUGAAUGUAAGCCUACUGAGGGACGAACAUGGUAUCUGCCUCAUCAUGGAGUUAGACAUCCUGUUAAGCAAAAACUGCGUGUUGUUUUUGAUUGUGGAGCGAGCUUUCAAGGAACAUCGCUGAACCAACAGCUCCUGCAGGGACCGGACCUAACAAGCUCGCUAGUGGGGGUCCUUUUAAGGUUCCGACAAGAGACCGUGGCGGUCAUGGCUGACGUGGAGGCUAUGUUCCACCAAGUCAGAGUCAGCAAUGAAGACACAGAUUUUUUCAGGUUUCUUUGGUGGCCCGAGGGGAACUGCGAGCAGGCACUUGUUGAACACAAGAUGUU
ensembl:lncRNA